AAGUCGUAACAAGGUUUCCGUAGGUGAACCUGCGGAAGGAUCAUUACCGAAGAAAUGAUAGUGCUGAGCUGACUCCUUAGGGGGUAUGUGCUUGUUCUAUCGCUUUUUCUACUCUCCACUGUGCACCUAUUGUAGGCUAUGAUAACUCUCAAGUUUCCCUCUGGGGUGAUUUGGAUGGAGGGCUAUGUGAAAUCUCAAUUUUGCUUGCUUUCGACUUUGUAGCCUAUGUCUAUACAAACUCUUAUAGUUUUGUGAAUGUCUUACUGGUUGGUCUUUGACCGAUUAAAAACAAUAUACAACUUUCAGCAACGGAUCUCUUGGCUCUC
rnacentral:misc_RNA from 1 species